rnacentral:rRNA from 1 species
AUUGAACGCGGGCGGCAGGCUUAACACAUGCAAGUCGAGCGGGGUGAUGGUGCUUGCACUAUCACUUAGCGGCGGACGGGUGAGUAAUGCUUAGGAAUCUGCCUAUUAGUGGGGGACAACAUCUCGAAAGGGAUGCUAAUACCGCAUACGUCCUACGGGAGAAAGCAGGGGAUCACUUGUGACCUUGCGCUAAUAGAUGAGCCUAAGUCGGACUAGCUAGUUGGUGGGGUAAAGGCCUACCAAGGCGACGAUCUGUAGCGGGUCUGAGAGGAUGAUCCGCCACACUGGGACUGAGACACGGCCCAGACUCCUACGGGAGGCAGCAGUGGGGAAUAUUGGACAAUGGGGGGAACCCUGAUCCAGCCAUGCCGCGUGUGUGAAGAAGGCCUUAUGGUUGUAAAGCACUUUAAGCGAGGAGGAGGCUCUUUUGGUUAAUACCCAAGAUGAGUGGACGUUACUCGCAGAAUAAGCACCGGCUAACUCUGUGCCAGCCGCCGCUGUAA